rnacentral:rRNA from 1 species
GGGGCCGCAUAAGCCUUUGAACUGCGAGCAAUACCCGCGUUGAGAGUGACUGAAAGCUUUUGGGUUGUAAACCUCUUUUCUCAGGGAAGAACACUGACGGUACCUGAGGAAUCACCAUCGGCUACCUCCGUGGCCAGCAGCCGCGGUAAUAUAG